UUCUCAAGUACCUUCCAUAAUAUUUAUUUUAUUUAGAAGUAGGCUAGACAGUUUUACAAUGUAUGUUAGACUAACAAGAUUUUCUUCAAAAUUUAUUUUCACUUUACACAUAUAGCCUUUGAAAUGUAGAUUAGAAAAAUAAAGUGGAAACCAUUCACUAGGGUGUUUGUGGUAGAGAGAUGUGAUGCACUUCAUAACACAUGGAGCUUAACAUGUAAACAGAAACAAAAACCAUGAGGAAGCCUAAAAAAAAAAACAAACAAGGCAGGCCCAGUUCAAUCUGGGGACCUGAACACAAAUCACGCUCAUGAGGAAGGCCUCGAACCGUAGGUGUGGACACACAAGCAGUGCCAAGGCCAUUCACGGAGCAACACUUAAGCUACAUCAGUUGCUUAAGAGAAUUUUCAGUAUGGCUUACAGAAACACAAUGGCUACAGUGGUACCCGGUGGAGCUGUGUGCCCAAGGCUGGCACCCCCGGCCCUAGGGUCCAGAUUCAUGUCUGCUUGCAGUGGGGAGCUGAUGCUUGCCCGGUUUCCCUGAAGCUGACUUUAAGUGGAAUCUUGUGCUUUAGUACCUCUGUGCCGAGUUCACUACACACGCAGUGUGACAGCACACAUUUCCCAACUGAUGUGAACAUUUUAUAUAAAAAUACUACAUUCUGACGACUGCUUGCAUUGGCUCUUCCCCUCUCAAUCAAGUCACAAGGUAAGUGGGUGAGGUGGUGUCCGGACAGGAGCAAUGCAU
rnacentral:lncRNA from 1 species